AACGCGAAUGGCACUGUUAUGUAAAUAGCAGUAUGUCUGUUUGAGAAUCGCAAAACACGAUCAACUCUAGUUAAGAGUUGGGCUUGGUCUUAUAUGCCGCAAAGUGUAUUUGGCUUGAAUAAAUCAGGUUGAUGAGCUUCCCAACACGGCUCAAUGUGUGCUAGCGAGACAGUCGUCCCGAUCUCACAUUUCACCGUGUUGCAGAGCUCUGACCACAACCUCUAACUAAAUUUAAUCUAUUACGAUCUCAAAUCAGGCAAGAUUACCCGCUGAACUUAA
rnacentral:misc_RNA from 1 species